ACCGCCCGCUAAAGAUAGUUGCAGCCAUAAAGAGGUCUUACUCUGUCACGUGAAUCGGUCGAGUGACGUUUGCGUCUUUAAAUAGUAGAAACCGGACAGAACUAAUUAUAUUAAGAAAAUCGUUUAUAAAUCUUCAUAACAAACAUAUCAGGACUAUGGUAAUAGUUUGUACAAGUAUUAAUGUUGACGAUGCUAUUAUGGGGUACGGGAGUAAAGCGCAUCUUUUUAUUAUUACACGAGCUAUGUACAUAGUGGCGUCACUUCCGGGUCUGUGUUUUGAAAGAGCCCGACGUGCGUGUUUUAUUGAGGAAACAGAAACUAAUAAUUAACGAAAAACAAAGAUUAAUAGAAUGUUGGUUGUUAAAAUCUGCCUGUAUGAUUAUUUUAUUUUACUUUUCUCCCGUAGCCUGUGCAGGAGUUCACUGCUGAGUCUACGGGAGUCGUGAGAGUGGCAGUUUGCUGUAAGCCGGACUGUAUCAGCCCGAAACGUAUUCAGUGUGAGCCCGGGGAGCAGAGUAGAGUCUGGUAGAGACAAACCAACAAACACAAGUGUGCACCUCAGCCGCCUGCCACAGAAUCUCCACGUUCUUGCUCUUCUUGGCGUUGACGUUCUGGCUGAGCAGUUUGAGUAGAUCGGGCAGACUGGUGUUGCUGCGAGAGCGAGGCAGACCUGAGACAACAACAACAGGGGAGUCCUCUGGCAGAACUUCUUUAAAGUGGUCAUAGUACAAGCUGAGACGUGCCGUGCUCUCUAUAUUGAUCACCUCCUGUAAAGAUGUGUCUCCAAACCUGCACAAACA